rnacentral:snRNA from 1 species
GUGCUCACUUCGGCAGCACAUACACUAAAAGCGGAUCGAUGCAGCGAAGAUUAGCACGUCCCCUGUGUAAGGAUGACAUGGAAAUUCGUGAAGCAUUCCAUAUUUCA